rnacentral:tRNA from 1 species
GCGAAAGUGGCGGAAUUGGUAGACGCGCUGGAUUUAGGAUCCAGUUCCGUGAGGAGUGGGGGUUCGAAUCCCCCCUUUCGCA